CUUGGAACAGGACGUCAUAGAGGGUGAGAAUCCCGUAUGUGGCCAUUGCCCGCGCCUAUGUAAAGCUCUUUCGACGAGUCGAGUUGUUUGGGAAUGCAGCUCAAAAUGGGUGGUAAAUUUCAUCUAAAGCUAAAUAUGGGCCAGAGACCGAUAGCGCACAAGUAGAGUGAUCGAAAGAUGAAAAGCACUUUGGAAAGAGAGUUAACCAGUACGUGAAAUUGUUGAAAGGGAAGCGCUUGCAACCAGACUUGGGCGCUGCCGAUCACCCCGAGUUCUCUCGGGUGCACUCGACAGCGCACAGGCCAGCAUCGGUUCGGGUGGCUGGAUAAAGGCCGUAGGAAUGUAGCUCUCUUCGGGGAGUGUUAUAGCCCACGGUGCCAUGCAGCCCAGCCGGACCGAGGACCGCGCCUUCGGGCUAGGAUGCUGGCGUAAUGGUUGUAAGCGACCCGUCUUGAAACACGGACCAAGGAGUCUAACAUCUAUGCGAGUGUUUGGGCGUUAAACCCAUACGCGGAAUGAAAGUGAACGUAGGUGAGAACCCCUUUGGGGCGCAUCAUCGACCGAUCCUGAUGUCUUCGGAUGGAUUUGAGUAAGAGCAUAGCUGUUGGGACCCGAAAGAUGGUGAACUAUGCCUGAAUAGGGUGAAGCCAGAGGAAACUCUGGUGGAGGCUCGCAGCGGUUCUGACGUGCAAAUCGAUCGUCAAAUUUGGGCAUAGGGGC
rnacentral:rRNA from 1 species